GAGCGGAUUUAGAAAAGCUUGCUUUUCUAGAUCAGCGGCGGACGGGUGAGUAACACGUGGGCAACCUGCCUGUAAGACUGGGAUAACUUCGGGAAACCGGAGCUAAUACCGGAUAACCCUUAACUUCACAUGAGGUUAAGCUGAAAGACGGCUUCACGCUGUCACUUACAGAUGGGCCCGCGGCGCAUUAGCUAGUUGGUGGGGUAACGGCCCACCAAGGCGACGAUGCGUAGCCGACCUGAGAGGGUGAUCGGCCACACUGGGACUGAGACACGGCCCAGACUCCUACGGGAGGCAGCAGUAGGGAAUCUUCCGCAAUGGACGAAAGUCUGACGGAGCAACGCCGCGUGAGCGAAGAAGGCCUUCGGGUCGUAAAGCUCUGUUGUCAGGGAAGAACAAGUAUCGGAGUAACUGCCGGUACCUUGACGGUACCUGACCAGAAAGCCACGGCUAACUACGUGCCAGCAGCCGCGGUAAUACGUAGGUGGCAAGCGUUGUCCGGAAUUAUUGGGCGUAAAGCGCGCGCAGGCGGUCCUUUAAGUCUGAUGUGAAAGCCCACGGCUCAACCGUGGAGGGCCAUUGGAAACUGGGGGACUUGAGUGCAGAAGAGGAGAGCGGAAUUCCACGUGUAGCGGUGAAAUGCGUAGAGAUGAGGAGGAACACCAGUGGC
rnacentral:rRNA from 2 species